GGAGUCUGGGCCGUGCCUCAGUCCCAAUGUGGCCGUUCAUCCUCUCAGACCGGCUACUGAUCGUCGCUUUGGUGGGCCGUUACCCCGCCAACUGGCUAAUCAGACGCAGGCCCAUCUUUCUGCGAUAGCUUACAAGUAGAGGCCAUCUUUGGUAUCUCCCCCCAUGCAGGAGAAAUACGUCAUUCGGUAUUAGCACCCCCUUUCGGGAUGUUGUCCCCAUCAGAAAGGCAGGUUGCCUACGCGUUACUCACCCGUUUGCCACUAGGUCCUCUCAUUCAGCAAGCUGAUCAAAAGAACCCCGUCCGACUUGCAUGUGUUAAGCACGCCGCCAGCGUUCGUCCUGAGCCAGGAUCAAACUACU
rnacentral:rRNA from 1 species